UCCCUCAGUAACGGCGAGCGAACGGGGAAGAGCUCAUAGCCGAAUCCCGCGCUUCGCGGCGCGGGAAAUGUGGCGUAUGGGAGGCGGAGUCCUCCGAGCGCGACCGGCGGUACAAGUCCCCAUGAGAGGGGCAUGUUACCCGGAGCGGGUGCUAGGCCCGUACCGCCGCCGGUCCGCGCGCGGAGUUGCCGUUUUCCCGGGAGUCGGGUUGCUUGGGAGUGCAGCCCUAAGUGGGUGGUAAACUCCACCUAAAGCUAAAUAAGACCGAGAGACCGAUAGCGAACAAGUACCGUGAGGGAAAGUUGAAAAGCACUUUGAAGAGAGAGUUCAAGAGUACGUGAAACCGUUCAGAGGUAAACGGGUGGGACCUCGAAGUCCGAAGGCGGUGGUGGAUUCAGCCGGGAACCGGCCCUUCUCCUCUCUGCGUCACCCCGCGACGGGGCCGCGGAGAGGGGCUCGAGGGCCGGGUUCCGGCGCACUUCCACGCCCCGUCCGGUAGGGCGUCGCGACCGGUUGGAAGGCCGUCGCAAGGGCGGACGUUAAAGGUGGCCGCGUUUCCUUAGGGAUCCGCGGUGUUACAGUGGUCCGUCCCCGACGGGUCGUCCGACCGGGGUCUAUAGGCGCUCCCUUCCAGAGGGAAGCGGCGUCCGGGCCGAGCGUCGCGCGCGGGGCGUGCCACCUUCUAGGUGAGCGUCCCUCGCGAGGAGUUUCGCGUCCGAGGCGCCGCGGGGAGCCGGAGGUCGCGGCGAGUAGGUCGGUUACCCACCCGACCCGUCUUGAAACACGGACCAAGGAGUCUAACGCGUGUGCGAGUUCCCGGGACUUGACYAGGCCCGCGGGCGCAAUGAAAGUGAAGGUCUUUUAGACCGAGUUGGGAUCCUCUCCCUCGGGGGAGGCGCACCAACGGCCCGUCCGACGCCGGUUUCGGCGGGGCGGAGCUAGAGCAUACGCUCUGGGACCCGAAAGAUGGUGAACUAUGCCUGGGCAGGACGAGGCCAGAGGAAACUCUGGUGGAGGUCCGUAGCGAUUCUGACGUGCAAUCGAUCGUCAGACCUG
rnacentral:rRNA from 1 species